GAAAUACUCCCUCCGCCCGGAAAUAAUUGUUGAAGAAAUAGAUGUAUCUAGACGUAUUUUAAUUCUAGAUACAUCUAUUUCUCCGACAAGCAUUUCAGAUGGAGGGAGUAUAUG
rnacentral:pre_miRNA from 1 species